ACCGAAGCCUGUAACCUCCUUCGGGCGUGACGGGUGGCUGGUAUCCUCCUUCUGAGGGGUGUAUGUUGCAGCUUGGGCCGGCCUUUAGGGGUCGCGAAUCCCCAAUUCUGCGGCGGACCAUUCCUUGUGCAACUCAGUGGGGGCAAUUAGAUGGCUCGUUGGCAUCUUCGGCGGCUUCGGCCCUGGAGAUGGCUCGGGCCGGGUGCUGGGCUUCGGUCCACGUCCCGACCUUUUUUAACUAGUUCUAACCCCUUCAUUGAGGGUUGCCGGGGAGGCCUUUCGUCCUUCGGGGCGGAGGGUCUGCUCGGGAAAGAUAGUUACCUGGUUGAUUCUGCCAGUAGUCAUAUGCUUGUCUCAA
rnacentral:misc_RNA from 1 species